CACCUCUCUUGGUGUUUUGUGGUAAGCUCAGCCAAAGGAAACAAGAACAUUAAAGCAGAUUGAGAUUUUCAGUUCAGAAUGCUGUUCUGACACUGCUCCACGUACAACUGGUGAACCUCAACCUAUCUUUCUCUGAGCAAGAUUUAAGCAGAUAAAGAAGAUAAUAUCCUCCUACUGGAUUAAGAAGAAUAAACUUUCCUGUCAGGAAAGUAUGUGAGGAAAGAGUGCAUCACCCCUGCAGGAUACAAAAUGAAGAAAAAAAGAAAAAUGCUAAGAAAAUCACCCCAACUUGAUAGCGAAGCUGUAACGGAGCAAACUUGCUGCUGCAGGGCUCAUUGUAGGAAAUUGGAAGGGUGAAUAGAAACUAAGGCAAGGAUGGGAGGUAGAUUUGCAGCAGAAUCAAUGCUUCCAUUCAUUUCUAGGUACCACUUGUGGAAUACUGUGGAUUGUUCAAAGUUUGUAAAAGGAAUAUUAUGUAGAUCAGAAUUAAAACUAGAGAAUUACGUAUUAAACUUGAGUCUGCAAAAUGAGAUCAUGAACUGGAGGCUACAUCAGGGCAUUUAUGAAAAUGGAGAAAAAAGAUCCAAAUCAAGCCUACAAUCUCUUAAUUAAUUCUAUUCUAAUGACUAAAUAGUGAAUAAAUCUUGGUCAUUAUAUAAUGGGAUAAGACGCAGAUGUUUUGGCAUUUAGACUCAGAAGCAUUCAAGAAGACCUUGAUGUUUCCCCAAAGAAAGAGAAAAGGCAUACGGAGGAGGGCUGAUACAGAUACAAUUCCCUAUGUUAUAGCUGACUGAAAACAUGCAAAAAGCCAGCCAGAGGCUAUUUGUUCCCUGAGAAAACUUAGUUUUUAAAGGGGAGAUCCUUUCCAUGGGAAAAGAUCAAGUAUUGCAGCAAUGCAUGUAGAAGCAGAGUAACG